rnacentral:rRNA from 1 species
UUCGCAAUGCCCGAAAGGGUGACGAAGCGACGCCGCGUGUGGGAAGAAGGCCUUCGGGUUGUAAACCACUGUCCCGGGUUAGGAAGUGCAGGAGCGUUAAUAGCGUUUUUGCUUGACUAAGGCUCCAGAGGAAGCCACGACUAACCCUGUGCCAGCAGCCGCGGUAAUACAGAGGCGGCAAGCGUUGUUCGGAAUUAUUGGGCGUAAAGAGCACGUAGGCGGCCUUGCAAGUCAGUUGUGAAAGCCUUCCGCUCAACGGAAGAAUGCCAGCUGAUACUACAGGGCUUGAGUACGGGAGGGGAGAGUGGAACUUCUGGUGGAGCGGUGAAAUGCGUAGAUAUCAGAAGGAACGCCGGCGGCGAAAGCGACUCUCUGGCCCGAAACUGACGCUGAGUGUGCGAAAGCUAGGGGAGCAAACGGGAUUAGAUACCCCGGUAGUCCUAGCCGUAAACGAUGGGCACUAAGUAGAGGGGUUUU